rnacentral:rRNA from 1 species
GCGGUAGGUGACUGACGGAGGACAUUAAUGAACAAAGAAGAGUGUUGUAGCUGGCCUUUCGGGGCAUGUGCACGCCUCUUCAAAAAUCCAACCACACCUGUGCACUCCUGCGUGGGUUGGUCAGGGGGAUAAAAACCUCUGGCUAGCUUGCGUUCUUUUUACAAACCUUUGUAUGUCUUCAGAAUGUCUAGUGAUGUUAUAAACGCAUCUAAUACAACUUUCAACAACGGAUCUCUUGGCUCUCGCAUCGAUGAAGAACGCAGCGAAAUGCGAUAAGUAAUGUGAAUUGCAGAAUUCAGUGAAUCAUCGAAUCUUUGAACGCACCUUGCGCCCUUUGGUAUUCCGAAGGGCACACCUGUUUGAGUGUCGUGAAAUCAUCAACUCCUACUUUCUUAAUUGAAGGUCCGAGAUUGGACUUGGAGGCUUUUGCUGGUCUUUGAAGAUCGGCUCCUCUUAAAUGUAUUAGUGCGGCUCUUCGCCGACGUGCCUUUGGUGUGAUAAUUAUCUACGCUUCUGGUCACGUAGGCCUACCUUGAGACGCGCUUCAAACCGUCCUUCGGGACAAAUCCAUGAAAUUUGACCUCAAAUCAGGUGGGACUACCCGCUGAACUUAAGCAUAUCAAAGGGGGGAGGAAAA